UUUUGACAUAUGCGCGCGCCAAAAUAAUAAAUAUUAAGUUAAAUUGUAACAUGUAAUUGAAAUUAAUGUUAAAAAAUUACAACUGAAUAUUAAGUACAUAGAGAUGAACAAGAAAAAAAAUGUUUUAUAUAUUUAUAUACAAGAUUUAUGAUUGAAAUCUGGUUUUCCAUAUUAAAAUCAUUGUCAGCCGAGAAACAAAAUCUGUGCAAAAUAAAAUAGAAACA